UGAUGCUGCACACACACUUAGCUGGGCGGAAGGUGCGAGUCGGACACUUCAGAGGGGAGAAACAGAUUGAUUUCUUAGCUGUGGAUGAAAACUAUGAUUUUGAAUACCAGGACGUGACAAAUUUGGGCAAAACUAAGACAGUGAAGUUGGGUGACAAAUUGCUGGUGGAGUGCACUUAUAGCACUGAAAACCGCAGCACACUCACAUGGGUUAGUAUUAAUAUAAUUACUGUUCUUCAUGCA